GCUAUGUAACUCAUUUCCUAAUUGUUUAUCUGAAUCUUCCCUUCUGCCUCUGCCUUUCUCUCACAAAGAUACUUGCCACUUGAAUUCCUUACAUUAUAAAAAAAAAAAAAAAAAAGAAUUCCUUACAUUAUUUGAUCUCAUUUCAAGACCUUCAACUUGGGGCUGGAGAGAUGACUCAGCAGUUAAAAAGUGUUUGGUACCUAACACUCAGGUUGGUGUCUCACAACCUCCUGUAAGUCCAGCUGCAGGGUAUCUGGUGUCCUCUUCUGUCCUCUUCUGGUACCUGAACAUAUGUGGCAUAUUCACAGAGAAACACACAUAUACACAAGUAAAAAUAAUUUAAACAAACUCUUUG
rnacentral:lncRNA from 1 species